UUCCACCAUUGGGCUCGUGAGGAUACAGUAGUCCUCCUCUGGACGCUGCCUCAACAGGCCCCAUCUUGGAAGCAGAAAGAGCAGCUCUCACUGGACUCCGGACCUGUUGGAAAACUCGAUGUUGUAUUUCUCAUUCUCCAGAAUUAUUGCAAUGUCCAGUGACUCAAGGUUCAACCUGAGCAGAAGAUGGAAGUUACAGGAUCAAGUGUAGUGUACUUGACUAUGAUGAAGAGACAGAGGGAUUGAGAAUCUCAUUAAAGAUUUUGGAGCUAAUAAGUGGCAGAACUGAAAUUUGAACCUAGGGAGUUUCACAAAAUGAACUUGGCCUUCUUAACUGCUAAGCUACACUGUGUGGAUUCUUAAUUUCCCAUUACAUGGUCCUUGUGUGGAGGACUGUGGCUCAUACAUAGUUUGGUAAUGUAUAUUGAUUAGCAUUUCCCUGCUUUGGGUCAGAUGUAAAACUUGUAUUUUACCUCUCAUGGCUGGCUUAUUGCUUCUGAAUCUUGAUAGUACAGACUUUCAACACAUUUAUAUAUAGAAGAGCUGAGUUUAAUGCUAACUAGACUUUAUGCAUAUUAGGUUUUAAUCUUUCACUUGCUAAAUUUAUGCCUUUUCUACUAUGUCUGUAAAUCUUUCCUUGCCAUAAUAUGAAAGAUUUACUGUUUUCCUCCCAAGGAUUUCCUUAGAUUAUAUUGGCACUCUCUAUUAUAUCUUAGGACAAGUGUAAAAAUAAUGAGAUUUGAUAGUUUUAAAUCAGCUCAAAAUAUUGUUUCUGGAUAAGCAUCCAAUUAUUCCUUUUUUUCUGGUGGUAAGUUUUCUGUAAUUGGAAAUGUUGCAGUAAUGCUAUUUUAAAUUCUAAGUGUGGAAGUAUUUCUAUAGCAUAAAAUUCCUCUUAUGUGUAUGAAUGAUUGGGUAUGGGUCAAAGAGACUUGGAACAUUAAUUUUAAUUCAGGGUGGCUCCAAAGAGGCAAGUUAAUUUUCUAAAUCAGCCUGGUGAGAGUUGGAGCUUGGGAAAUGCAUUUAAGGAAAAAUGUCUUAUACUCUGCUAGAACAAUUGCACAGUAAUAGGCUCAGGAGUAAACUGGCCACUAAGGUUUGGAAGCAUUUUUAGAGUCAGGGCCAAUUUGCCUGAAAACCUCUAAUUCUGAAUCAUGCUUAUUCUACGACAAAUCACUUGUUCAUAGCUUAAUGCUUCUGAAAUUGGAACGGAUCCCUAGUUGAUGAAGUUAUGGUAGGAUGUGAAUAUGAAAGUUUUAUUUGAGUAGAUAAUAGACAUGAUAUUGCCAAGGAUGGUGUGGUAGCAGAAAAAAAUGUGACCCUAAAUUUUUUGAUUUUUAACUUUUAACUGUGGUAAAAUGCACAAUAUACAGUUCACCAUCUUAAAAAUUUAUAGGUACAAUUCAGUGAUAUAAAGUAUGUUUGCUUCACUAUGUAAUCAGUAUCACCCAUCUCUACAACUUUUUCAUCUUCCCAAACUGAAACAUUGUACCCAUUAAAUAACUUCCCAUCAUCCCCCCCCCCCCGCCCCAUCCCU